GCCAGUGUGGUGUAGUGGUUUGAGCGUUGGAUUGGGACUCUGGCGACCAGGGUUCGAUUCGCUGCUUCAGCC